UCACCCAAGCUAUCCUCUCAUUUUCUGUCGUGUGUCUCCAUCUUCUCCAACAAAUUCGGAUCUAUCUCUCUUCACUCACGCUCUUAUCUCUCAGCUCUCUUUUGUCUCUCUCUCUGUGCAAGUGCAAAGAAUCUUGCAAACUCGAGCACCAUCACUUGUCGGCUCCAGCAAGCCAAACCGUCAAACCACCACAACUUAUCAUUCCCCACACCUCUGUUAAACUCAUAUCUUCAUAUCAAACCCAGACCAAACCCUAAACUUUACUGUAUCACUGUUUCUGUUCGAGGAGUUUUCCGGCGAGUUCUCCACGAUCCCGACCAAGGUAAGCCUAAGGACUUCCUAGAUCUUUCCUUUCUUGUUGCUCUAAGUUUACUUCUGAAGCUACGGGCUUGUUUUGGUGGUGUUCAAGCAUAGAAAAACCUCAGGGACAAUUUUCCAAAAAAUUGGUAGGGAAAAACCAUGGCCAUCCGACCACUUUCAGACCAACUUCCCGGCCAACACAGACCAUGACUAGGCUACCAAUAGGUAUAGAUCGACUCCAUACAUUUCUAGCUUCAAGUUGGUUUUUGUAUCAUUUAUUUUGGUGGUGAAUCGAGGUAGAUAUUAGCCCUGGAAGUUGGCCCAGAAAUCAAGUCGAACAUGUGCCUCGUGAAGACUGCGAGUAUUGUUGUACUCGCGGGCACGUGGGUUGCGAGUGGUGCUGCAGUGCUCGGCGCGUAGAGCACACGCGCCUUCCAGAGGUACUGUGCUUCAGCGCGUGGCCUCCCGAGCCUUGCGUGAGGUGUCGCGUAGGGGAACUUGAGGUCCCUUCUUAAGUUUCUCGACGUGCCGAAUUCGAAUCCACCGUGAAGCGCAUUGCAAGGAUCUUCGAUGCCUGCAAGGCUGGUUCGACUUGACAACAUGAUUUGUGAGUAGGUCUUUACUUUUAAAUACUAUAUAUAUUUAUCUAGUUUCCAUAUAUAUGUUUAAUAAAGAAUUUACUACGUAUACCUAGAUUAGAUUAACGUUUAUAAGAAUUAGUGAAAUGAUGGAAUUUUAUGCUAAAUCCUACAGGAUGCACAAGUAUAUACAACCAUGAUCAAUAUUUUAUUUGAA